rnacentral:rRNA from 1 species
CUAACGCAGCGUACACAUGCAAGUCGAGCGGUAACAGGCCCUUCGGGGUGCUGACGAGCGGCGGACGGGUGAGUAAUGCAUAGGAAUCUGCCCGAUAGUGGGGGAUAACCUGGGGAAACUCAGGCUAAUACCGCAUACGUCCUACGGGAGAAAGCAGGGGCUCUUCGGACCUUGCGCUAUCGGAUGAGCCUAUGUCGGAUUAGCUGGUUGGUGAGGUAACGGCUCACCAAGGCAACGAUCCGUAGCUGGUCUGAGAGGAUGAUCAGCCACAUCGGGACUGAGACACGGCCCGAACUCCUACGGGAGGCAGCAGUGGGGAAUAUUGGACAAUGGGGGCAACCCUGAUCCAGCCAUGCCGCGUGUGUGAAGAAGGCCCUCGGGUUGUAAAGCACUUUCAGUGGGGAAGAAGGCCUUGGGGUUAAUACCCUCGAGGAAGGACAUCACCCACAGAAGAAGCACCGGCUAACUCCGUGCCAGCAGCCGCGGUAAUACGGAGGGUGCGAGCGUUAAUCGGAAUUACUGGGCGUAAAGCGCGCGUAGGCGGCGUGAUAAGCCGGUUGUGAAAGCCCCGGGCUCAACCUGGGAAUGGCAUCCGGAACU